rnacentral:rRNA from 1 species
AUUGAACGCUGGCGGCAGGCCUAACACAUGCAAGUCGAGCGGAGCGGGGGACGGGGGGGGAAGGCCUAGGAAUCGGCAUGGGAGUGGGGGAGAAGGUCAGGAAACGGGAGCUAAUGCCGAAUACUAUUAGAUGCGCAUAGGUCGGAUUAGCUAGUGGGUGGGGUAAAGGCAUACCAAGGCGACGAUCCGUAACUGGUCUGAGAGGAUGAUCAGUCACACUGGAACUGAGACACGGUCCAGACUCCUACGGGAGGCAGCAGUGGGGAAUAUUGGACAAUGGGCGAAAGCCUGAUCCAGCCAUGCCGCGUGUGUGAAGAAGGUCUUCGGAUUGUAAAGCACUUUAAGUUGGGAGGCGUUACCAACAGAAUAAGCACCGGCUAACUUCGUGCCAGCCGCCGCGGUAAUAC